AACGCACCUUGCGCUCCUUGGUAUUCCGAGGAGCAUGCCUGUUUGAGUGUCAUUUAAUUCUCAACCUUAUUAGCUUUUGUUGAUAAUGGCUUGGAUGUGGGGGUUUUCUUUUGCUGGCUUUCUUCGGAUGUCAGCUCCCCUUAAAUGUAUUAGCCGGUGCCCUGCGUGGACUAUCCAUUGGUGUGAUAAUUAUCUACGCCGUUGGAUGUCUGCAAAUAGGUUUUGCACUGCUUCUAACUGUCUGUUCAUUUGGACAAUACAUGACAAUUUGACCUCAAAUCAGGUAGGACUACCCGCUGAACUUAA
rnacentral:misc_RNA from 1 species